UCUCUCUCUCCUCUCUCUCUUUAAAAAAAAAAAAAAAAAAAAAAAAAAAAGAAAGUAAAUUGUAGCAAAAUUCUGUUAAAAUCACAUUAUUUAACAGAGUAGGUUCUAAGAAAUAAAAGGAAUUUGAUUAAUAUUGAUGUCUUACUUUGCAAUAUCUAAUCAAAUAUUAACAGGUAGCUACAACUUGUGACUAAAAGUUGUGUUUGUAAAUAUAAACACUUAAAAAUAUUUCUCAAUUUUAUGAAUGCUCAAACUAUUAAUCCUUCUAGGAAGACUUCUCACCCACAAGUAAGCUUCAGCGGUUGCUGGCAGAAUCUCGGCAGAUGGUCACGGAUCUGGAGCUGAGCACACUGUUGCCCAUCAGCUGUGAGAAUUUCGACAGCAGUACCAGAAGUAACUUAGAAGUCUCAGAAGAGUCAGAUCAAAAGAAUACCUUUGUCAGUCAUUGAAAAAAACAAAGUCAACUUGAAUAUUCAUUGUUAUCUUGGCGCCAGAUUUCUCAUCUAUAUGGAGGGCAGAAAGCAGACAUCAAUGUGACUUCACCUUAGAACAAGAGAUGACUGUGAUCCUUCACAGGCAGCAUUUAACACCAAAGCGGAGCAGAAACUAAAAGUUUAUUUUUUAAAACAUCUGUUGUUUUCAGUUAACCAUUUUCAUGUCUAAGAAAUAUUUCCAUUUGUAAGCAGUGAGGCCUUAUUGUAUGUAGACGGAGUUGGAAUUAUGCUAAGAAGGAAAAAGGUCUCUGUAAAGGUGCAGACUGUAGCUGGGCACUGAAGACUCUUCACAUGGGAGGUCAGGUGAGCGCCUGUGUGUAGAUGCCACCUUACCACCUGCUUUCCUAAACCUUGAACAUCAGAGUCAGCUCCAGAUAUAUGAGGAAUAAUUUUCUCUUCUCAUACAAUUUUAACGCUGGGCUUUGCUGUGUUAACAGACAUGAGAUGAUAUGAUAUAAAAUGUUUUUAAGGGAAAAUAUCACCUUGGAGGCUGACAGGUGAGGUCCAUCUGUCCUAAGCCAGCAGAGCCCUGUCUUGUCUGGGUCCGUAACUCAAACAAAAGCUUGCUGGAAAACCAAGUUUCAUAUGAAUUUUUUUAUAUUAAAGGAUUAAAACACUUCCAUUUUAACUUGUAAAUUUUAUUUUUUAAAGAAUAUAAUGUGUGCUCUGUGUUCCUUCUAUGAGAAC
rnacentral:lncRNA from 1 species